CCUACGGGUGGCUGCUGUGGGGAAUAUUGGACAAUGGGGGGAACCCUGAUCCAGCCAUGCCGCGUGUGUGAAGAAGGCCCUCGGGUUGUAAAGCACUUUCAGUGAGGAAGAACGCCUGGUGGUUAAUACCCAUCAGGAAAGACAUCACUCACAGAAGAAGCACCGGCUAACUCCGUGCCAGCAGCCGCGGUAAUACGGAGGGUGCGAGCGUUAAUCGGAAUUACUGGGCGUAAAGCGCGCGUAGGUGGCUUGAUAAGCCGGUUGUGAAAGCCCCGGGCUCAACCUGGGAACGGCAUCCGGAACUGUCAAGCUAGAGUGCAGGAGAGGAAGGUAGAAUUCCCGGUGUAGCGGUGAAAUGCGUAGAGAUCGGGAGGAAUACCAGUGGCGAAGGCGGCCUUCUGGACUGACACUGACACUGAGGUGCGAAAGCGUGGGUAGCAAACAGGAUUAGAUACCCGUGUAGUC
rnacentral:rRNA from 1 species